rnacentral:lncRNA from 1 species
UUUUUUUAAAAAUAUUUCUAUUUCAUUUCCUUUUUUAGAGAAAAGAAAACAUAGAGGAAACCCUCUGCUAGGGUUUUCUUUAAUCCAACUUCUCCUAGCCGCCGCAACCACCUCGACGGACCAGAGGUCCUCCCCGGCUCCGGUUCGGCAGCAGGUUUCUUCCUCGCAGGUAAGUAUAUCCUUUCUCUUUUCUUUUGCUAUUUCGUUUAUUAAAAAGAAAACAACCCCUAAAACAAGAAAUAAGAAAAUAGUAAAAAGAGAAAACGAAAACACAAAUUCACCUUCAAAAUCUUUUUCUUUUCUGUCACUUUCUUUUUGUAUUUUUUCUCUUUUUUAGUACAAAAUUUUUCUCCCCCCGUUGCAGAAAUCCUUUGGCCUUUAUAUAGCCCUCUCUAAAUCCUUUUACAACUAUUUUGUUGUGUAUUCGGUCAUUGCCUGUUCUUGGUUUGUUUGUAGGACGAACGUGCAUGGUGAACGCAAGGGAUCGCUGAACGUGGGUGAUUGCGACGUGGGGUGAUGGGGUCGUUGCUGCAGAUGGAGAACGUGCGGCACGCCCUAGGGCUUCUACUUCCAUUGCUGCUGAAAACAUGUUGUGGGCUAGGGUUAAUUUUGGGCCAAUUGGGCCAAAUAUUUUUAGUUGUUUUAUUUUGGUAGGCUAAAUGUUGGGACUGAUGUAGUGUGGGCUUUAGGUUUAGUUGGGCCCGAGCAAAAUUUAGGUCUUAUAGUUGGAAUUGAGGUUGUGAGCAUCCAUCUCAUCAUAUCUCCAAGUGCUAAUAGGGUAUCUUCCAAAAUUUUUAAUAGAAUGACAUGUACUUAGGAAGAUCAAGUGUGUUCCAAGUAGUAGGGACUAAAAUAUAAGUUAUGAAAACUUUUUUUUUAAUGUUCAAAUAUAGUAAUUAGCCAAAAAUCACUUAGGCACCAAAUAUAAUAUUCCUAUGUCAGGUUCUUUGGGUCGAACUAGGUAUAAGGGUGUUACAUCCUUUAUCAUUUUAAAGCACUUUAGCCUAAUGUGGUUUGGACACCACAAUAGUGGAGCAAACCCUACUAUUAUAUUUGUUCUUCUUCUUUGUAUGAAUCAUCUCGACCUUUUUGAAGCAUUUAGUUUGAUUAACAACAUUUUUGGCCUUUGCAAACACAGUUGACACCAUUGCUUUGUAAUUUUUUUCAACAUAGUGAAACCUCAUUUUCUAUGAUCUUCAAUCCCAAAUGUUAAGAUUUCAUUUAGCUUCUCAAUGCUCCAAAAAGAUGUUUAUUCCCUUUAAUUUAAAGAUAAAUAUAUUUGCUUUAUAAUUUUUUUCUUUCAUCCACAUUGUGAAUGCCACAUAAUUUAUUAUUAGUUUAUCUAAUUUUCUUCGCAUUUAACUCAAUGAGAUUUUUACAUUUUAUGAAAUGAUGAUUAUCUAUACCUUAUAUUAAAAAAAAUCCUCAAUCAAAGAUAGCCAUAUGGAGUGUAGACUUUGAUUUGAAUAAAAGUACUCUUUGAAUUCUUCUAAUUUGAGAUAACUUUUUUCUUGUUUCUUUUAGAAGAGUUUCGUAACAACUCAUUUUCAAUGGUACCGGAAACAGUGAUUUCAAAACCUCGUUCUUCAAAGUUCAAGUAAGUAAAUGUUAUUUAUUAAUAUUUAUGAGUCUAUAUAGCAUUAUAUUAGAUUUUGGUUCAAUAAAUUGAUUGAUUAAGUGAUUAACUAGGGUAUAAGGAUUAAAUCGUAAAAAUCAUAAAACUUAAUUGCUAUAGAUGUUUAUUAGUUAAAAUAUUUAAAUAGUGAAAGUAAAAGCGUUUAAGUGUCAAUUUAUCAUUAUUUAAGUAUAGUGGACGGUUUAUGAUUGAUUUAUAAAUGAAUUAUAUGUUAUUUAAUAUUAAGACUUAAGUAAAAUGUAAUAAUAAAUAAAUAAAGUUAAUGGCCACUUUCAUUUUCAUCAUUUUCUUCUUCCCACCUCCAUUGUUAAACGUUGAGAAGUUUAGCCAAGCUGUAUCCUUGCAUGUAAGUCAAAUUUGAUCUCGUUUUUCAUAAAUUUUAUAUUUUUCUCAUCGUUGUAGCUUAAUCUAGCUAACCUGGGUACUAAAUUGUAAAACUAUUAAAGAUUUUAAAAGUUACCAUUGCUUUUUGAAAUUCUUUGGAUGUUAAAUGUUAGAGUUUGAAGCUUUGUUUUGGAAUAGGACUAUUUUGUAAACUAGUUUUUGUUAGUUUUAAGUUUAAGGACUAAAAAUGUAAUGAUGCUGACUUUAACAUAUAAAUUAUAUAAUUUUUUAUUCUAUAGAUUUAUUGAAGGAUGAAAUUGAAAAUGGAAUGAAAAACGAAGCUUAAAUGUAAAAUAAAUGCUAGUUUUGGUUUUAGGGACUAAAUGGAAUAAAAGGUAAAAGUAUAAGACAAUGUUGUAAAAUGUUAUUAAAGGGGUCAUAUGCAUAUGUUUGACAUUAUAAAGUAUUUAGAGUUGAUAAUUGAAUUAAAUUAUUAUAUAGAUCAAGUAACGGAUCAACCGAUCAAUAAAUGCAGAAAAGAAAAAAUUGUUGAAUAGUCAUUGGUGUCGUGUUUGUUGCUGUUUUGGUUAGGUAAGUUUAUAUGAUACUUAUUUUGUUUAAUAUUUGAUAUGAUUGUAUCGUGUUUAUAUGCAUGUGUUAUUUGUGAAAGAAUUACUAAAACUAAUGAAUUUGGUAUUGAAGGAUCAAUUUGUAAGUUAAGGUUUUAUUGAUAAAUGCAAGUAUUAUGUAUAUGAAAACGGUGGUAAUUACAUGUUUAUGAUGAUCUAAAGGAUUGAAUGGAUCGAAUAUGGAAUUAAGAGCCAAGUGAACUUAGUGAAUGAUUAGGAUAUAAAUGACAUGUCAUUAGGGUUUAAAGUAUCAGGUACUAUGUACCGGUGAUUAUGUUAUAACAAGUACUUUGUACCAGUGUUUAUAUUGUAUCAAGUACUAUAUACCGGUGUUGGAUACCUUAUUGAUGGUUGAGAUCCAACAUUUGUUGUGGAUUCUCCACAGCUUGUGUGAGCAGAAUCGAGUAAAAGGUUAAUGUCCCUAUUUAUAGCUCGUGUGAGCAAAGAUAAUUAUAGCUCAUGUGAGCAAAUCUAUCCCGAGUAUCCGAGGUUAAUUUACUAUAGUUCUCCAGAUGAAACUAAGUUAUGAAAUCGAAUUGAGAUGAAAGAUUAUUUGUAUAGAGAUAUUAACCCUGAAUUGAGUAUGACUACUAUAAUUAUUGUGUUACUUAUAUGUAUGUGAUGAGCAUUAUGUGAUAAUGUACUAACCAAGUUGGUUAUGGCAUGAAUUGUGUAAGGUGACAAAGAAUACCAUGUUUGUAUGUUAUUUUCAAUUAUUGAGAUAUUAAAAAAAUGUUAGGUAUGUUGUGUUUAAUUUCAUACGAACUUACUAAGCUUUGAGUAAACUUACCUUUGUUUCGUUUUUCUUCCUUGUAGAUUGUUGAAAAUCGAGAUUCAGUUGGAUCAAGUUGGAGCUCACACUAUCCACAAAUUCCUUUGGUAGACUUUUGAACAUUUUGCCGAUUAUAAGUGGCAUGUAAUUAGGUGUAAAUGGUUAUAUAUAUAGUGUGAAGUUGAAAAUUAUGUUUUUUUUUAUUUUGUCGAGGAUAUAAAUGUAAUGUUUGAAAGUGAUGAUAUUAUUUUGGUUGGUUUGUAACAUGAGUUGCAUGUGUGUUUUGGUUAAUGUUGUGCAUAUUAUAUAAUGAGUUUUGGCACAUUGAAUUGAUAUUUAUGUGAGGAAUGCAUAAGUAUUGAUGUUGGGACA